GAUCAGACAUUGGAGUGUGGGGUGGCCUCUCUAACCAAAUCUUGGGGAGUGUAGUGGGGCCUGUAAUUUGCAAAAACAGUAACUUAAGGUAAUUUUAUGUUAGCAAACGUUAAACGUGUUUUCUACCACCGUCACCACAAUCGGCACCACAUGCUGUGCUAAGCCCUGUCUGCAAACCGCACAGUAUAGGGUUCAGAAUCCUGGGGAAGUGAAGCUUUCGGGGGGUUAUCUGCACCCAGGCCAGGGGCUGACAAUCACAACCGAAAGAAAACCUGGCUCAGAAAGUUCAACAGACUGCUCCAGUCAGUCAGGCACCUUCAAGUGCCCUCAGCAAAAUGGUAUGACCCGGGAGAGGAGUGGAUUGAAGGGUAGACUUAAGUCAGGCCUCAAUUCAGGGCCGCUGGACAGGGGUCAGGCAGGACCUGGAGACCUGGGGAUCACCAGGACAAGGGCAAAGGAAGGUUCGGGGACAGGGCGACGGCCGGAGUCUGAAGGAGGUCGGGUGUGGGGCGAUACACGGCGAUGGAUUUUCGCGAGCUGCUCCGGGGAGGCGCACCCACCGAGGGUGCUGAGUCACGCUGACCAGGAAAGGGCAAGAAAUCGCGGUUCGCCGAGAUACGGGGAUCUCCUGGCACUGGGCCCACUCUCCGGAGAAUUUGCCUCUGGCCUUAGCAACACCUCGUUUCGUCUGGCUUGUCUUGAGUUGCUUCGAGCUGUUCUGCACCCUGCACAUGUGGUCAUGAAGGAGACUCGCUCCUUGCUCCACUGAGGCCUUGGUUCAGGUCCACAUCCCCAACUCAGUCCCAAUAUAAGCCACAUCCAGUCCCCCUCACAGACAAGCAGAGGCCUGUGCCCAGUCAGCAGACCCCUGUGGAAACAUAAGGCCAGCUGUUUGUGUUACUCCCAGGAGCCUGUCCCUGGAGGUUCCUCAGACUCCCACACACAUACGGUUGGAAGCCUGACAGUCAUGUUGUCCACAUACAUGGCUUUUUGGUAAUUGAGGAGCUGUCUCCAGAUCAGGAAGCAGAUCAAGAGAGGGGUCACAGAGCACAGAGGAACGUCCUUCCACAGCACCGUGGCUGC